rnacentral:rRNA from 1 species
GAUUCAUGACUGGGGUGAAGUCGUAACAAGGUAACCGUAGGGGAACCUGCGGUUGGAUCACCUCCUUACCUGCA